rnacentral:sRNA from 12 species
UGCCUAUGAAGCGGCUACUAUGUUGGUGUGUGGCUGUGGAGGUGCUAUUAGGGUUGUGUGGUGAAUAUACUCCAAGUUCCAACUUAGGCUUAAUUGAAAGCUGAAAAUAAAAACACUCAAA